CCUACGGGAGGCAGCAGUAAGGAAUAUUGGGCAAUGGAGGCAACUCUGACCCAGCCAUGCCGCGUGAAGGAUGAAGGCCCUAUGGGUUGUAAACUUCUUUUGUACGGGAAUAAACCUGGUUACGUGUAACCAGUUGAAUGUACCGUAAGAAUAAGCACCGGCUAACUCCGUGCCAGCAGCCGCGGUAAUACGGAGGGUGCAAGCGUUAUCCGGAUUUAUUGGGUUUAAAGGGAGCGUAGGCGGGAUUGUAAGUCAGUGAUGAAAGCCCGUAGCUCAACUACGGAACUGCCAUUGAUACUGCAGACCUAGAGUACACUUGAAGUGGGCGGAAUGUGUCAUGUAGCGGUGAAAUGCUUAGAUAUGACACAGAACACCAAUUGCGAAGGCAGCUCACUAAAUUGUAACUGACGCUGAGGCUCGAUAGCGUGGGGAUCAAACAGGAUUAGAUACCCUGGUAGUCCACGCCGUAAACGAUGAUUACUCGAUGUUGACGAUACACUGUCAGCGUCUGAGCGAAAGCAUUAAGUAAUCCACCUGGGGAGUACGGUCGCAAGACUGAAACUCAAAGAGUAGUGACGNGAGAGACGCGACGACGACGACGAGGAGGGAGGAGG
rnacentral:rRNA from 1 species